rnacentral:rRNA from 1 species
UACGAAGGGGGCUAGCGUUGUUCGGAAUUACUGGGCGUAAAGCGCGCGCAGGCGGUUUCUCAAGUCAGUGGUGAAAGCCCGGAGCUCAACUCCGGAACUGCCAUUGAAACUGUGAAACUUGAGGACGAGAGAGGUGAGUGGAAUUCCCAGUGUAGAGGUGAAAUUCGUAGAUAUUGGGAAGAACACCGAUGGCGAAGGCAAUCCCCUGGGCCUGCACUGACGCUCAUGCACGAAAGCGUGGGGAGCAAACAGG